rnacentral:rRNA from 1 species
UUAGAUCGUACCCACAUUUACUUGGAUAACUGUGGUAAUUCUAGAGCUAAUACAUGCAAAUUAGAGUUCCAACCAGAGAUGGAAGGAACGCUUUUAUUAGAUCAAAACCAAUCGGUGGCAAAUAGCUUGCUAUUUGUCCAUCGUUAAUUUUGGUGACUCUGAAUAACUUUGUGCUGAUCGCAUGGUCUUUGUACCGGCGACUUAUCUUUCAAAUGUCUGCCUUAUCAACUGUCGAUGGUAGGUUCUACGCCUACCAUGGUUGUUACGGGUAACGGGGAAUCAGGGUUCGAUUCCGGAGAGGGAGCCUGAGAAACGGCUACCACAUCCAAGGAAGGCAGCAGGCGCGCAAAUUACCCACUCCCGGCACGGGGAGGUAGUGACGAAAAAUAACGAUACGGGACUCAUCCGAGGCCCCGUAAUCGGAAUGAGUACACUUUAAAUCCUUUAAACGAGGAUCAAUUGGAGGGCAAGUCUGGUGCCAGCAGCCGCGGUAAUUCCAGCUCCA